UGCGUAGGCGGGGCAAUUAGUCAGUGGUGAAAUCCUGCGGCUUAACCGUAGAAUUGCCAUUGAUACUGUUGUCCUUGAGUAUAGUUGAGGUGGGCGGAAUGUGUAAUGUAGCGGUGAAAUGCAUAGAGAUUACACAGAACACCAAUUGCGAAGGCAGCUCACUAAGCUAUAACUGACGCUGAGGCACGAAAGCGUGGGGAGCGAACAGGAUUAGAUACCCUGGUAGUCC
rnacentral:rRNA from 1 species